rnacentral:piRNA from 1 species
UCUUUUGAGGUGCAUCAAGCCA